rnacentral:lncRNA from 1 species
CAAGUACAACAUAUGGAUAUAAGGCCUACUGUUAUGUCCAGCAGUAUGUCGAUAUGGGUUUAAAAUUUGAACUGAAUUUCUUUAUAAUAUGAAAUUCCAAAAAAUCGACGUACAAUUAAGUACAAGACUAACCCCAAAAUGUCAAGUACAUAAUUUUCAUCCCAUAAAGUAGCCUUUAUUGUACUUGAGAUUAGCCUUAAAAUUAGUUGUAGCUGUAUUUCUCUACCACGUCAAAUCAAACACAUCCACUAGCUAGUACUGUAACGCAAUGUCACUGUCAAAAGUUGCAAUUUGAAAUUAAAUAUAUAAAAGGUAGCGGAUGAUAUCUUUUUCUAGGAAAAAAAUAGCGAUACUCUGUAGUUGCGAUGUGAAUGAAUAUAAUUAUAUUCAAGUAAUGUAUAGAAGGUUGCAAUCUAUGAUAGAUAAGUUAGGAAUUAGAAACUAAAGCAUGUAUGUAUCAGCAUACACUGUCGGCAGGAAGUCUUGUAUCAAAUUAUGCACAUUUUUAGUUCAAUAGUUUCAGAUGAAACGGUGAUUUUUUUAUUAAUCAAGUUUUGACUUAUGACUUGUUUAGACUUCUACAUGUUUAGAGUUGACAUAUAAUAUACAAUAACUAAUCAUAUAUAUAAAAAAAAUUCUGCUAGGAAAAUCACACUACAUUGAUAUAUUAUUUGAUAUGGUAAGUGAUGUGGAUAUAUCAUGCCAAUUAAAGACUUUAUUUCAUUAGAUGUUAGUUGUAUACAUGCAUAACUUGCUACACGCUACACCAUAUAAUACGCUAAAUAAUGUAAAUAUGUGGUCUUACUAGCAUUAGCCUAUAGAAAAUGAUUCAUUGCAUUUAUAUGCGCACCCUCGCUAUACAUACACCACUGGCGAGAUGAUUACAACACAAUAUUAAAUCAGUGUUCCCAAAUGAUCAUAUGAUUUAAGUAUAAGGAUAAUACUUGCAUUUCCUCUCUUGGGGAUGCACAUAUUCCUCUAUUUUCGAAUAUCGUACAAAAAAUCAUUUGACGAGCACCCGUACAAAAAAUCAUUUCUAUCGGAGAUCAUUUAGUCAUUCAAAUAUAUAGAACACAUCGAUGGUAUAGGUACUAAGUAGUAUAUUCAUGAUGGACCGUCCAUUUAUUUGAUGAUGUUGAUGCACAAAAUCAGCGGGGACUUUGGUACA